rnacentral:rRNA from 1 species
GGGAAACUGGGUUUAAUACCGUAUACGCCCUUCGGGGGAAAGAAUUUCGGUGAGGGAUCGGCCCGCGUUAGAUUAGUUAGUUGGUGGGGUAAUGGCCUACCAAGACUACGAUCUAUAGCUGGUUUGAGAGGAUGAUCAGCAACACUGGGACUGAGACACGGCCCAGACUCCUACGGGAGGCAGCAGUGGGGAAUCUUAGACAAUGGGGGCAACCCUGAUCUAGCGAUGCCGCGUGAGUGAUGAAGGCCUUAGGGUCGUAAAGCUCUUUCGCCUGUGAUGAUAAUGACAGUAGCAGGUAAAGAAACCCCGGCUAACUCCGUGCCAGCAGCCGCGGUAAUACGGAGGGGGUUAGCGUUGUUCGGAAUUACUGGGCGUAAAGCGCACGUAGGCGGAUUAGUCAGUCAGAGGUGAAAUCCCAGGGCUCAACCCUGGAACUGCCUUUGAUACUGCUAGUCUUGAGUUCGAGAGAGGUAAGUGGAAUUCCGAGUGUAGAGGUGAAAUUCGUAGAUAUUCGGAGGAACACCAGUGGCGAAGGCGGCUUACUGGCUCGAUACUGACGCUGAGGUGCGAAAGUGUGGGGAGCAAACAGGAUUAGAUACCCUGGUAGUCCACACCGUAAACGAUGAAUGCCAGUCGUCGGGUAGCAUGCUAUUCGGUGA